rnacentral:rRNA from 1 species
GGUUGGGGGCGUACCUGCAAGUCGAGCGGAUGACGGGAGCUUGCUCCUUGAUUCAGCGGCGGACGGGUGAGUAAUGCCUAGGAAUCUGCCUGGUAGUGGGGGACAACGUUUCGAAAGGAACGCUAAUACCGCAUACGUCCUACGGGAGAAAGCAGGGGACCUUCGGGCCUUGCGCUAUCAGAUGAGCCUAGGUCGGAUUAGCUAGUUGGUGGGGUAAUGGCUCACCAAGGCGACGAUCCGUAACUGGUCUGAGAGGAUGAUCAGUCACACUGGAACUGAGACACGGUCCAGACUCCUACGGGAGGCAGCAGUGGGGAAUAUUGGACAAUGGGCGAAAGCCUGAUCCAGCCAUGCCGCGUGUGUGAAGAAGGUCUUCGGAUUGUAAAGCACUUUAAGUUGGGAGGAAGGGCAGUAAGUUAAUACCUUGCUGUUUUGACGUUACCGACAGAAUAAGCACCGGCUAACUCUGUGCCAGCAGCCGCGGUAAUACAGAGGGUGCAAGCGUUAAUCGGAAUUACUGGGCGUAAAGCGCGCGUAGGUGGUUUGUUAAGUUGGAUGUGAAAGCCCCGGGCUCAACCUGGGAACUGCAUCCAAAACUGGCAAGCUAGAGUACGGUAGAGGGUGGUGGAAUUUCCUGUGUAGCGGUGAAAUGCGUAGAUAUAGGAAGGAACACCAGUGGCGAAGGCGACCACCUGGACUGAUACUGACACUGAGGUGCGAAAGCGUGGGGAGCAAACAGGAUUAGAUACCCUGGUAGUCCACGCCGUAAACGAUGUCAACUAGCCGUUGGAAUCCUUGGAGAUUUUAGUGGCGCAGCUAACGCAUUAAGUUGACCGCCUGGGGAGUACGGCCGCAAGGUUAAACUCAAAUGAAUUGACGGGGGCCCGCACAAGCGGUGGGAGCAUGUGGGUUAAUUCGAAGCAACGCGAAGAACCUU